GGUUCUGCGGUGUGAUGGUUAGCACUCUGGAUUCUGAAUCCAGCAAUCUGAGUUUAAGUCUCAGUACAACUA
rnacentral:tRNA from 1 species